UGUACUAGAGCAACCAUAGCAAUGUUCUGAGGGGCGUCAAACGAAAACCUCACACAACGCAACUACAGUGGGAUAGUGAGGAAAAAGUGCAACAGAGAACCGUCCUAUGAGAAAGCUGUCUUCUGCUGUCAGUGUACAGAGAGCAUCCUUGGAAGAAGAGAUUGUCGCUGUGAACCUAGUGUGUCUGAAAAACAAGUGGACAGUUACCCACGAUGUCCCACAGCAGUUACUAUGAGUGUGAAAAGCGUGGUCAGAGUUCAGGAUAUCCUCGCUUGGCGGGAAACCAAACAGAAAUGGGGGGCCCUCUCUGUGACCAUGAGACCUCUGUGGAUUUGUCCACGUAUAUUGACACAGGAGAGGAACUGUUGUCUGAUCUGUUUCCUAUGAAGCAGGAAAGACUUAAAGGGACAUACUCUUACUUACCUCCUGAGGGAAUACCCUCAGCUGCCCUGUAUGGAUACCCCCCUAGCAUGGCCCAGGAGCGCAGGUUAGGAGGGUAUGAAUCUGGAGGGGUGAUCGUAAAGGAAGAAUCACGUGGACCGCAUAGGGGUGUGUGUAACACUCUGCAAUACCAAGCCGCGCAGUGUGGGCAGACAGCGAUGCAUCUUCCUCCACCCAUGGAAGGAGUGCACCCUGCAAUAAGAGUACUUAAGGGUACUCUGCCUGGGAUGUUAUCUGCUCCCUCUCUGAAGGACCCAUCCUCUAAAGGAAAGAAGUGCUUGAGCAAGGACAGCAUUGAGUACCGCCUGCGCCGUGAGAGAAAUAACAUUGCAGUGCGAAAGAGCCGUGACAAAGCCAAACGCAGAAACAUAGAAACUCAACAACGUGCGCUGGAAUUCAUGGCAGAGAAUGAGAAACUGCGCAUUCGUGUCCAGCAGCUGACUCAGGAGCUAGAUGCGUUAAAGGGAGUUUUUAGGCAGCUACCUGAAGCAGCAUCUCUUGGCAAGGGAUCUGGUGGAUGUAGCUGAGACUCAAAAAUUAGAAAGUACUUUCAAGGAAGACUAUUAAUCACGUGUUAGUCUGGGUAGUCCUAAUUCAAAGGGUUCUGGGGAAAACUUAUUAAUUACAGGAUCCAGGGGUGGAAACGGAAUGUGAUCUCACUAAAUAGCUUUAAACUAAGCACAGUGUCUAUUCACUGCGAGUUAACGUAGAGGUUUUCAGUAUUUAAUAGAGGUAAUUACUACCAAUCGAAAAAAGAAAUGAAAUAAAAGACUAUGGUGAUAGGGGCUAUUCAUACUAUCAGACUAAGUGCAAAGAAUCAAUAUGUGUACAUUUUAGAGAUAAUAUUGUGCAUUUCAGGGUUAAAAACUGGGAUCAUUUCUCCUUUCUACUGUCAUUCACAGAGUACUUGGUGUUAAAAAAGUUGUAAACUUAGCCAAAGGCAUAGAGGGAUACUGGUUGGAACUUGGCAGAAACGAAAAGAUAUUUAAAAGAAUAAGUAUUCGUAUAAGUGUGUAAUAGCUGUACUACAAGGCAGAUCCCCAAUUGUUGUAGAACUACGACUGCCAUGAUGUUGUGCCAGCCUUUAAAUGCAUCAUGAAAUUUGCAAUUCUAUAACGUCUUGGAUUCUAUAUUUUGCCCACUCCUGCAUUGUACAAAAUCUUUUAGCCACUCCUAUCCAAGCAAUCUAUAUAAAAAUGCUCAGGUGUUGUGUAGAAUGUUUACCUAUUCCAUGCUCAAGAUUAGAUUCUAUUAUUAGUAGUAAACGUAUAAUACCGCAGUUUUCCGAGAAGUGUACCUAAAUUACUUGGCAUCCAGGGCAAAUAUGUAUGUUGGCAUCCUCUCUGAAUUGUAAGAUUACUUCUUGUGUAUCUCUUAAGCCCCCUUACCUCUUGCAUAUCUUAAGGAAACAUUUCAGGCACCAAAACCACGACAGUGUUCUGUAGUGGUUAUGGUGCUAAGAGUGCCCCUGUGCCCUAUGUAAACAGUCAAAGCAUUUUAGAUUAAAUUGAUAUCUUACUUGGGGUCCUGGGGCAAGACUUAGCACACUGGUGUUGCAAGACUUAGCACAAUGGAGAUCAACUGAUGCUCUUAGCCACUGAGCUAGCUCUACUCAGACUACGUGCAUUGGGGGGACAUGGUACUCCUUGUACCAUAACCACUUAAACUGUAGUUGUUAUGGUGCAUAGAGUGAUCUGUUAAGGAUGAACCCUUAGCCCCAUAAUACAUCCAGGUGUUGGAUACAAAGAGUACCAAGCAGGAUGGGGGUGCUUAGUGCAUCCCUGUCUGUCACUUUGGGCGGACAGCAUUGUGGUUGGUAUGCUACUGGCAAUUUUUUUCCAAUGGAAGCAAGUUUCUCAGAGUUAAGUUUAUCUCUUGAAAUAGAAUUCAGACAUUAGUACCAAAUAAUAUACCGUAAUUAUCUCUGUCUUCACUUAACCAUUCUAAUACAUGUUUAAACUUGUAAAAAGGCCAAGUAGGAAUCUGUGAAGUAUGCAGUUAAGAUUCAAAAAUAAAGUGAAAUGUUUGGUUACAA